rnacentral:rRNA from 1 species
GACGAACGCUGGCGGCGUGCUUAACACAUGCAAGUCGAACGGAAAGGCCCUGCUUUUGUGGGGUGCUCGAGUGGCGAACGGGUGAGUAACACGUGAGUAACCUGCCCUUGACUUUGGGAUAACUUCAGGAAACUGGGGCUAAUACCGGAUAGGAGCUCCUGCUGCAUGGUGGGGGUUGGAAAGUUUCGGCGGUUGGGGAUGGACUCGCGGCUUAUCAGCUUGUUGGUGGGGUAGUGGCUUACCAAGGCUUUGACGGGUAGCCGGCCUGAGAGGGUGACCGGCCACAUUGGGACUGAGAUACGGCCCAGACUCCUACGGGAGGCAGCAGUGGGGAAUAUUGCACAAUGGGCGGAAGCCUGAUGCAGCAACGCCGCGUGCGGGAUGACGGCCUUCGGGUUGUAAACCGCUUUCGCCUGUGACGAAGCGUGAGUGACGGUAAUGGGUAAAGAAGCACCGGCUAACUACGUGCCAGCAGCCGCGGUGAUACGUAGGGUGCGAGCGUUGUCCGGAUUUAUUGGGCGUAAAGGGCUCGUAGGUGGUUGAUCGCGUCGGAAGUGUAAUCUUGGGACUUAACCCUGAGCGUGCUUUCGAUACGGGUUGACUUGAGGAAGGUAGGGGAGAAUGGAAUUCCUGGUGGAGCGGUGGAAUGCGCAGAUAUCAGGAGGAACACCAGUGGCGAAGGCGGUUCUCUGGGCCUUUCCUGACGCUGAGGAGCGAAAGCGUGGGGAGCGAACAGGCUUAGAUACCCUGGUAGUCCACGCUGUAAACGGUGGGUACUAGGUGUGGGGUCCAUUCCACGGGUUCCGUGCCGUAGCUAACGCUUUAAGUACCCCGCCUGGGGAGUACGGCCGCAAGGCUAAAACUCAAAGGAAUUGACGGGGCCCCGCACAAGCGGCGGAGCAUGCGGAUUAAUUCGAUGCAACGCGUAGAACCUUACCUGGGUUUGACAUGGAUCGGGAGUGCUCAGAGAUGGGUGUGCCUCUUUUGGGGUCGGUUCACAGGUGGUGCAUGGCUGUCGUCAGCUCGUGUCGUGAGAUGUUGGGUUAAGUCCCGCAACGAGCGCAACCCUUGUUCACUGUUGCCAGCACGUUAUGGUGGGGACUCAGUGGAGACCGCCGGGGUCAACUCGGAGGAAGGUGGGGAUGACGUCAAGUCAUCAUGCCCCUUAUGUCCAGGGCUUCACGCAUGCUACAAUGGCUGGUACAGAGAGUGGCGAGCCUGUGAGGGUGAGCGAAUCUCGGAAAGCCGGUCUCAGUUCGGAUUGGGUCUGCAACUCGACCUCACGAAGUCGGAGUCGCUAGUAAUCGCAGAUCAGCAACGCUGCGGUGAAUACGUUCCCGGG